UGUUGGUUUAAGUGGCUGGGGCAGCAGGCUGGGGGGGGCAGGGAUGCCCCCUUCACAUUCACAAAGUUCUGGCCAACCUGCACAUUCCUGUUACUAUUCUUUUCCCAGCUCGCUGCCCACCACCAAAUCCCAGGGGAAGUUCACCCGGAGGGAGUGUGAGAUCUGAACCCCUCAACUUGAGGCCUUGGGCAGAGGACAAGGAUGGGAGCAGCUGGGGCUGGGCACACUGUUCUACAAGCCCCAGGAUUCCAGGGAGCAGCUGUUUCCUAGGAAGCCGAGGAGGGAGGAACAGGAGUUCAAGGGCAUGUAACAUGAUCCCCUCCGGUCCACAGCCUUUGAAGGCUUGCAGAUAAACUCAGGUUUGGGGCUGGUAACGCUGUAAAAUAAGCCAGGAGGAAAGAAGACAGGGUCUUAUGGGCCCCUCCUAAAUGCGAAUGGCCCUCUGCCCUUGAGGCUUUGAACUACAGCUAUAGAUGAACAUGGCCCAGUGCACCUCCCUCCUGUCAACACCUGGGUGGACCUAGAAUUGAAAGCAGUCCGUCCAUCCAGCCUGACUUGCGGUACCCAGCUCUGGCCAGGAGGUGGGCCAUCCAUCAACAGGGAGGCCGGGACAGGAUGUGGAAACCACAUAUUAACCCUGAGUUCCUAUUGGGAACUUUAAACCUGGCUAGUUUCAUGUUCAUGUUUCUCUUUAAGCUUCGUUGGGGACAGGGACCAAUGACACAUCCCACUCAUCUCUGUAUCCUCCGGUUCCUGCACACCCAGGCUCCUGGCACAAUACUCUGCUCUUAGUAGGUAAUUAAACCCCUAAACACCUGUUAAACAGAAAUAACUGCCUUAACUUUCCUGUUAAGCUACAAGCUACUUGCGGGCAAAG